UACGUAGGGUGCAAGCGUUAUCCGGAAUUAUUGGGCGUAAAGAGCUCGUAGGCGGUUUGUCGCGUCUGCUGUGAAAACUGGGGGCUCAACUCCGGAUCUGCGGUGGGUACGGGCAGACUAGAGUGAUGUAGGGGAGACUGGAAUUCCUGGUGUAGCGGUGAAAUGCGUAGAUAUCGUAAGGAAGACCAGUGGCGAAGGCGAAUCUCUGGACAGUUACUGACACUGAGGCACGAAGGCCAGGGGAGCAAACGGG
rnacentral:rRNA from 1 species